rnacentral:misc_RNA from 2 species
AAAAUGAAGCCGGGAAACCGGUCCUUCAAACCCUUGAUUAUUAUUCACUUGUUGCUUUGGUGGGCCGCGAGAGCUUAUGCUUGAGCACCGGCUUUCGGGCUGGAGAGUGCCUGCCAGAGGACCCAACUCUGUAUUUUAGUGUCGUCUGAGUACUAUAAAAUAGUUA